CUCUUCGUGGGUCCAAAAAUGGGUUUAGACAUUUUGAUUGAUAAACAGCUUACAAUUUAUCUUGCCAUGAUGGUGUAAUUUGCGUCUGAGCCUGUGAACAGUGACAGUGGCCUGCUGUCGUUAAGCUGUCAUAAGGCAUUGACGAGUAUGAGUUUCUGAGCAAGCAACACUACAGUCAAAGCCAUCCAAAGUUUUUGUGGAUAGCUUUUGUUGACUGAGUAUCUUCUCUUUUAGGUCACCACAUUGAGGAAAUCCCUGAGGUCCAACUGGUGGUUCUGAAGAGUGAGGAGAUCCAGAAAGCACUUCGUACACCUAGGAACAACGUCAACUGCAGAGUGCUAAAGAAGAGUCCUCAGAAGAACUUGAGGAUGUUGCUCAAACUGAACAAUCGUGCCUGGCAGCUGUUUAUUUCAGCCUGCCCAUGAAAACGAUCAUCUACACGAAUAUGAGAUUUGGACAAGCACUUCGUACACCUAGGAACAACGUCAACUGCUGAGUGCUGAAGAAAGAGUCCUCUGAAGAACUUGAGGAUAAUGCUCAAACUGAACAAUCGUGCCAGGCAGCUGUUUAUUUCAGUCUGCCCAUGCACACGAAUCUGAGAUUUGGACAAGCACUAUGUACACCUAGGAACAACAUCAACUGCAGAGUGCUGAAGAAGAAUCCCUAAAGAACUUGAGGAUAAUGCUCAAACUGAACCAUCGUGCCUGGCAGCUGUUUAUUUCAGCCUGCCCAUGAAAAAGAUCAUCAAUACGAAUCUGAGAUUUGGACAAAUUCACUUCCUACACCUACGAACAACGUCAACUGCUGAGUGCUGAAGAAGAAUCCCUAAAGAACUUUAUUAUAAUGCUCAAACUGAACCCUUAGACCAGGCAGCUGUUUAUUUCAGCCUGCCCAUGCACACGAUCAUCAACACGGGUCUGAGCUGGAAUCGGAGAUUUGGACAAGCACUUCGUACACCUACGAACAACAUCAACUGCAGAGUGCAGAAGGUGAAUCCCUAAAGAACUUGAGGCUAAUGCUAAACCUUUACACCAGGAAUCUGAAAAGUGAGCAGAUCCAGAAGGCACUUCCUACACAAACGAACAACUUCCACUGCAGAGUGCUGAAGAAGAAUCCUUUGAAGAACUUGAUGAUAUUGACCAAACUGAACAAUCGUGCCUGGCAGCUGUUUAUUUCAGCCUGCCCAUGCACACGAUCAUCAACACGGGUCUGAGAUUUGGAGAAAUUCACUUCCUACUCCUACGAACAUCAACUGCAGAGUGCUGAAGAAGAAUCCCUAAAGAACUUGAGGAUAAUGCUCAACCUUUACACCAGGAAUGUGAAAAGUGAGGAGAUCCAGAAGGCAAUUCCUACACAAACAUCAAAACCAACAUACUGAAGCCCAAGAAGAUUCCUGGAAAGCACAGAAGAACUGCCAAACCAGUCAUAUAAUAAAUAUUUGAUUUCCAA